CCCGUCGCAUUCCAAACUGCCAGCCCUAACAUCGUCCGUGAGGGAGAACUAGGGCUUGAACUCGUGCAGGCCGGAGGGGAAGCCAGUGAGGGAAUCCGUCGUCGUCGUUGCUCCAAAUGCCUGUAAGCCACCACUCAUGUUCACCCGCACCUAGGCAUUGUUUAGGGUGGAGAGUUGGGAGGUGGGAACCGCCUUGAAUUGCUCGUCGGUGCAUGGUGUCCGCCGCGGCCGUAGGCCCUAGUGCUCAGUGCCACAACUACCAAAAUUCGGAAUAAAACCCAUCCCAGCAAGUUCUCGUGGUCGUGAAUUUAGUUUUACGUACUUUGGGGUGCGAGUCGUGCACCGGUGCGGUGGUUCGAGUUGCUCCGGCGAGUUCCGCCGUGGGUGAUGGACGCGUCGUCCUGUGUGUAGGCAGGAGGAAGGAGAGAGGCCAUGGGCCAUUGAUUAGUUAACGAACGCUCAGGAUUAGACGCGGGCAUCGGAUCAGCUAGGUUGCAGGAGAGCCGUUCGAUCGGGAUCGGGGGGCCUUGGUUGGACCCGUAGUAAUUAAAUCUGGGAUUUUGGAUCUCGAUCCAGAGGCUAGUAGAACUUACUGGUUCGCGGGAGUUGGAAUCUAAUCCUGACCGUCGGUGCAAUCCAACGGCUGAUAUCGAUUUAUGCCCUUUCGUGAUGGCUUUAUGCUAAAGAGUCCUCAAGUUUUCUAUAAAAUAACCCGUAGUCUACUUAAAUUCAACAUAAACUAUAAUUAGGUCCUGAAUUUUACAUGUUAGACCCCGGAUUUCAAAGAAAUAGUGUCCACAGUUCAUGAAUCUUUGUAUAUUAAUAAAACUAAUUCGAAAAUUGAUUUUUAUUGCCAAAGUAAUUCUAAAAACUUAGAAAAUGCAUAACUAAUUCAUUUUAAAUCAUUUUUAUCUAUUCCAAUUGCAUUAGUCUCAUAUUAAUCUCAUAUUGAUAUUCAUUAUCAUCUCGUAGCCUUGUAUUACUAUGAAACCAAUAGUUAUAAUCAUGCACUUGAUUUGAUCUAUAGUUAACACAUAAACUUUAGAAAACCAUAACUUUUUAACCGUAACUUAUUAAUAUUGUCGAACCUAGGAUCUCGUUAUGAUGCAUAGAAUAUUAUCAUGCAUUAUGUUCUGAUGUUUGGUGUGAUGUUAAUAUCUCAUAUACCAUGUUUGUUUGUAUUAUUGCGAAUAGACGAGCAAGCGACCGAGGACCCUAGUACUCAGCAGGUGGAAGUUACUGAGAAGGAGCUCGUUGAAGGCAAGUUGUGCCCUUGACCACUUUUCAUUACCCAAGAAUGUUUUGUAUAAUCAAUGUGGCAUCUUUAGUCUUAAUUUUAUUGGAACCCAAUAGGUCACCCUAGUCUGCUUUACUUUAUACCUUGUUCACCACUGAACUUUUGGGGUAGUCUCUGUUAUUGCUUUAUGUGGUUUUGGGUGUUAAGAUAAAUUUGACACAUGAUAAUUCUUUAUUAUUAUUGUUGGUUAUUUAUUAUUCAUGACAAGAUUAUUGUGUUAAUUGGAACAUGGAGAACCACCCGGGAAAACAAUGCUACCACAAGGAUGGAAUGGGACACCCUUGGCCAAGUAAUUAGGAAAGCUAGGGAGAGAUUACCUUACCUGAAAGGGACAAGCGUGGAGACGUCGCUGUAGAGUGUAGGGAGGUUCUCGGGUCGAACUGUCUGUUUAGCUUUCCGGACGGGGGAUUUCUAUGCUUCCUUCUUCCUGACCGUAGCGGAUUUUCUCAAACUCGUGAAACAUUGGAAAGGCCUCGUAGUGCUACCCUACCUCGUCUCCUUGGUAGAGAUGAAUGGGACUUCUAGACCCAAUGGCAACUGGAUAGCAUGAAUUGUGGGUAAAAAUGUGCAACCUCUACAGAGUGUAAAACUGGUAGAGAUUAUUGUGUUAUGAGCGGCUCGCGUGAUUAACUUAUGGAAUUAAACUUAAUUUGUCAUAUGCAUCGCAUUGUGGUUUUAUUAUUAAUUUUGAGCUAAUGAUACUUUGGUUUGGUGUAUAAUUACAUUUAGUAAUUGUUAAUAAAAUUUGACCAACCUAUUAAAAGCAAUGCUAAGCUUUAACCAUUAUUUGUUGAUCUGCCUUACACUUCACAUGAACUCACACCUUUGGUGAGUUUAGGUACAUUAUUCCCCACAACUUGUUGAGCUAUGAUCUUUUGUGAUCUCACCCUUGCAAUAUAUAAUCCCCCCCCCACACACAAGUGAAGAGCAGGUAGCCUAGGAGGAGGACUACUACGAGGAGUUCGAUGAAGUCUAGGUGGCGUCUCCCAGUUGACUUAAUGGCGCCAAGGAAAUAAUAUUAGUUCGCUUUAUUUGUUAUCAUUUAUUUUUGUAAGACACUUCCGCUAUGUAAUAAUAUUUGUGACAUUUAUCUCUAUACACUUGGUCAUUA
rnacentral:lncRNA from 1 species